rnacentral:rRNA from 1 species
AUGUUAAAAAUAGCCUCUGAUUUUUACAAAGAUCUUUUCAAAAAAGAAGAUAGAGAGGGAUUUAGUCUGAACCAGAAUUUUUUCUCUUCUGAGGAAAAAAUCUCCGAAGACAGGAAUGAGGCACUUCAAACCCCAUUCACUGAAAAAGAAGUGAAGGAGGCCAUCUUUGGUUCAUACUCUGAAGGAGCACCUGGUCCAGAUGGCCUCUCUUUCCUCUUUUUGCAAGAGUUUUGGGAGACCAUCAAACAAGAUGUUAUGGCUCUAUUUGAUGACUUCCAUGCAGGCACCCUAGAUAUUUAUAGAUUAAAUUUUGCCAUGAUUUCCCUCAUACCUAAAGAAGAGGAUGCCACCAAUAUGAGGAAAUUUAGGCUUAUUAGCUUACUGAAUUGUAUUUUAAAAGUCUUUACAAAAGUUCUGACCAAUAGGCUUGUUGUGGUUAUGAACUUUCUCACCUCUAGUAAUCAGUCAGCUUUUAUUAAAGGAAGAUAUAUCCUGGAAAGUGUGGUGACU